rnacentral:misc_RNA from 1 species
UUUGUGUGCGUGAAAGCUAGGAAGAUAAGCGUAGUUACAGUUUUCGAAAAAAAAUAAAAAGGGUCUUUUGCUUUAUAAGAUAGAAAAUUAUUAAUAAUUCCUUCCUUAACUAUUCAAAAUGACAGAGCAGAGCGCCAUCUACUUAUCUGAUGUGCCUUCACAUUAUAUACUAUCCUUUUAACUAUUUCUUUGCAAUGAGCUUUCUCUGGUAUAAGCAGGGAGUCAUGUCAUAAUGCCAUAUUGCAUUUGUUAAUUAAUUUUGUGAUAUGUUCUCCUUUCCCUAUUUGGAUUUUUGCACUGGAGCUUGAAAUUUUUGUAAUAUGUUCUUCUUUCCAUAUUUGUGAUAUGUUUAGAUUGGAAGUGUGAUCAUUAGAGGUUUCUAUCUUAGUGGAAGUACAAUGAGAGUGGGAUUUAGAAUCCCUAA